rnacentral:miRNA from 1 species
UUUGUAUUACGUGCGGAAAUUGUUACCAUUUUUCAGCCGAAAAUGGUAACAAUUUCCGCACGUAAUACAAA